GAUGAACGCUGGCGGCGUGCCUAAUACAUGCAAGUCGAGCGAACAGACCAGGCUCUUGCUCCUCUCACGUUAGCGGCGGACGGGUGAGUCACACGUGGAUAACCCACCUAUCUGUCUGGUAUCACUUCGGGACACCGGCGCUAAUCCCGGAUAAUCUAUUGCUCCGCAUGGUUCAAUAGUGAAUGUCGGUUUUGCUGUCUCUUCUCGCUGGUUCCGAGCCGCAUUGGCUGGUUGGUACGGUAACGGCUUACCAAGGCAAGGAUGCGUAGCCGACGUGCGAGGGGGAUCGGCGACACUGGAGGGGAGACACGGUCCAGAGGCCUACGGGAGGCAGCAGUAUGGAAUGGGACGCAAUGGGGGGAAGCAUGACGGAGCAGGGGCACGUGAGUGAUGAAAGUCUUCGGAGCGGAAAACCCUGUUAUGAGGGGAAAACAAAUGUGGAAGGAACUAUGCAGUGCGUGACGGUACUGGGUAAGAAAGCAACGGCUAACUACGUG
rnacentral:rRNA from 1 species